AGAGUUUGAUCAUGGCUCAGAUUGAACGCUGGCGGCAGGCCUAACACAUGCAAGUCGAGCGGUAGCACAGAGAGCUUGCUCUCGGGUGACGAGCGGCGGACGGGUGAGUAAUGUCUGGGAAACUGCCUGAUGGAGGGGGAUAACUACUGGAAACGGUAGCUAAUACCGCAUAACGUCGCAAGACCAAAGUGGGGGACCUUCGGGCCUCAUGCCAUCAGAUGUGCCCAGAUGGGAUUAGCUUGUAGGUGGGGUAACGGCUCACCUAGGCGACGAUCCCUAGCUGGUCUGAGAGGAUGACCAGCCACACUGGAACUGAGACACGGUCCAGACUCCUACGGGAGGCAGCAGUGGGGAAUAUUGCACAAUGGGCGCAAGCCUGAUGCAGCCAUGCCGCGUGUGUGAAGAAGGCCUUCGGGUUGUAAAGCACUUUCAGCGGGGAGGAAGGCGGUGAGGUUAAUAACCUCACCGAUUGACGUUACCCGCAGAAGAAGCACCGGCUAACUCCGUGCCAGCAGCCGCGGUAAUACGGAGGGUGCAAGCGUUAAUCGGAAUUACUGGGCGUAAAGCGCACGCAGGCGGUCUGUCAAGUCGGAUGUGAAAUCCCCGGGCUCAACCUGGGAACUGCAUUCGAAACUGGCAGGCUAGAGUCUUGUAGAGGGGGGUAGAAUUCCAGGUGUAGCGGUGAAAUGCGUAGAGAUCUGGAGGAAUACCGGUGGCGAAGGCGGCCCCCUGGACAAAGACUGACGCUCAGGUGCGAAAGCGUGGGGAGCAAACAGGAUUAGAUACCCUGGUAGUCCACGCUGUAAACGAUGUCGAUUUGGAGGUUGUGCCCUUGAGGCGUGGCUUCCGGAGCUAACGCGUUAAAUCGACCGCCUGGGGAGUACGGCCGCAAGGUUAAAACUCAAAUGAAUUGACGGGGGCCCGCACAAGCGGUGGAGCAUGUGGUUUAAUUCGAUGCAACGCGAAGAACCUUACCUGGUCUUGACAUCCACAGAACUUUCCAGAGAUGGAUUGGUGCCUUCGGGAACUGUGAGACAGGUGCUGCAUGGCUGUCGUCAGCUCGUGUUGUGAAAUGUUGGGUUAAGUCCCGCAACGAGCGCAACCCUUAUCCUUUGUUGCCAGCGGUCCGGCCGGGAACUCAAAGGAGACUGCCAGUGAUAAACUGGAGGAAGGUGGGGAUGACGUCAAGUCAUCAUGGCCCUUACGACCAGGGCUACACACGUGCUACAAUGGCAUAUACAAAGAGAAGCGACCUCGCGAGAGCAAGCGGACCUCAUAAAGUAUGUCGUAGUCCGGAUUGGAGUCUGCAACUCGACUCCAUGAAGUCGGAAUCGCUAGUAAUCGUAGAUCAGAAUGCUACGGUGAAUACGUUCCCGGGCCUUGUACACACCGCCCGUCACACCAUGGGAGUGGGUUGCAAAAGAAGUAGGUAGCUUAACCUUCGGGAGGGCGCUUACCACUUUGUGAUUCAUGACUGGGGUGAAGUCGUAACAAGGUAACCGUAGGGGAACCUGCGGUUGGAUCACCU
rnacentral:rRNA from 2 species